rnacentral:rRNA from 1 species
GACUGGAGUCUGCAACCCGACUCCACGAAGCUGGAUUCGCUAGUAAUCGCGCAUCAGCCACGGCGCGGUGAAUACGUUCCCGGGCCUUGUACACACCGCCCGUCAAGCCAUGGGAGCCGGGGGUACCUGAAGUGCGUGAGCGCAAGCAGCGCCCUAAGGUAAAACCGGUGACUGGGGCUAAGUCGUAACAAGGUACC